rnacentral:rRNA from 1 species
AUUGAACGCUGGCGGCAUGCCUUACACAUGCAAGUCGAACGGCAGCGCGGGCUUCGGCCUGGCGGCGAGUGGCGAACGGGUGAGUAAUAUAUCGGAACGUGCCCUGGAGUGGGGGAUAACUAGUCGAAAGAUUAGCUAAUACCGCAUACGAUCUACGGAUGAAAGUGGGGGAUUCGCUUGAACCUCAUGCUCGUGGAGCGGCCGAUAGCUGAUUAGCUAGUUGGUGGGGUCAGAGCCCACCAAGGCCACGAUCAGUAGCUGGUCUGAGAGGACGACCAGCCACACUGGGACUGAGACACGGCCCAGACUCCUGCGGGAGGCGGCAGUGGGGAAUUUUGGACAAUGGGGGCAACCCUGAUCCAGCAAUGCCGCGUGUGUGAAGAAGGCCUUCGGGUUGUAAAGCACUUUUGUCCGGAAAGAAAUCCGCUGGGUUAAUACCCCGGCGGGAUGACGGUACCGGAAGAAUAAGCACCGGCUAACUACGUGCCAGCCGCCGCAGUAAAAC